rnacentral:lncRNA from 1 species
CAAUAAGUUCUGUCUUUUUGUGCAUAUUUAUGUUCCCUUUUAUACUUGAAUCAAUAUGACAUUUCAAGUUUACAGCGAACUUUGGUGCUGUGUGGAUAUAUAUAUGUUGCAAUUUAGGCUUUCUGCAAGAUUUUUAAUGAUUUUUUUAUCAUUUAUUAGGAAAAUAUCCCAACUGCAACAGCAGAGAAGGUGAAAAAAGGUAUGCUCGAGGGUGUUGAAGCUGCACUUGGCCGACCGAAAGGUUCACUUCAGAAGCCCAUUUAUACUCGAGUCCAUUUAUGGUAAGACUCCACUUUUAAGGACAUGACCUUGUAAUUUCAUUUUUUUAUCUUGUCCAAUUUGGAUCCUUGUAACCUACUUGACCUGUAAAUAUUUGCUGUUGGUGUUGGUUUAGAAUGAGUGGUUGAUUUGAACAAGCUUAAAAAGUUAUUGUGUGGACUUGUGUAUAGUCCUAGUUCUAUUUUCCUGUUACGCUCAUUUUUAAAAAAAGAUGGAACAUGUCAUUCCAAUUUAUUAAAUAAAUAAAACAACUUCAGAAUUUCAUGAUUAAGAAAAUAGUUCCUAUGUGAUGAAUUAGGUAUUUAUUUAUUUAUAUAUCUAUUUUAUUUAUUUAUUUUUUUGGGGGGGAAAUGUGUAGGGGUGCAGCUCUUCCAACUAAUACUCCAAGUAUUCCAUGUAUGGGGAUUGGCUGUUGGGUUCAAGUGUAGAGUCAGCUGCAUUGAGUGGCAUGGCUCUUGCCAAUCAUGUAAGCAAGAAUAUGAUUUUCAUUUGCUUAUUUGGUUUUAUUUUGUGCAUGUAACUAUAUAUUUCAUGGUUGAUAUAAAAAAAUAAAAUAAAUCUAAGACACUUCCGGUAUAUGUGGCGAUUGGCUGUUGGGUUCAAGCGUAGAGUCAGCUGCAUUGAGUGGCAUGGCUCUUGCCAAUCAUGUAAGCAAGAAUAUGAUUUUCAUUCCCUUCUUGCUGCAUUUGAGGACCCCCUCCCACUGGGCAGUGCAUCAACAUUUGAAGGCGCCUUUGUGAAAGGUGUUGAUUCUGUCUCAUGGAUGGCAAAUAACUCAGCAAAACUUUUGAAUUCUCAGAGUGAUGCUCCUCACUGUUGGACCUUCUUCAGCACCGCAGCUUACGGAAAACAAAACAAGGUUCCACAGGUCAGUUUGUAUAUAAAUGUGGGUGUUGUUUAAAGUACUUGCUUACACAUGAUAAUAUGCUAGCAUUGGCACACUUUUUAACCAAUUGCCUAGAUUUGAAUCCAUUCAUGCUUCAGCUUGAACUCCAAGCUAUAGAAACAAGGCUGCAAUAAGUUCUGUCUAUUUGUGCAUAUUUAUGUUCCCUUUUAUACUUGAAUCAAUAUGACAUUUCAAUUUUACACCGAACUUUGGUGCUGUGUAGAUACGUAUAUGUUGCAAUUUAGGCUUUCUGCAAGAUUUUUUAUGAUUUUUUUUUUUAUCAUUUAUUAGGAAAAUAUCCCAACUGCAACAGCAGAGAAGGUGAAAACAGGUAUGCUCAAGGGUGUUGAAGCUGCACUUGGCCGACUGAAAGGUUCACUUCAGAAGCCCAUUUAUUCUCGAGUCCAGUUAUGGUAAGACUCCACUUUUAAGGACAUGACCUUGUAAUUUCAUUUUUUUAUCAUGUCCAAUUUGGAUCCUUGUAACCUACUUGACCUAUAACUAUUUGCUGUUGGUGUUGGUUUAGAAUGAGUGGUUGAUUUGGACAAGCUUGACAAGUUAUUGUGUGGACUUGUGUAUAGUCCUAGUUCUAUUUUCCUGUUACGCUCAUUUGAAAAAAACAUGGAACAUGUCAUUCCAGUUUAUUAAAUAUAUAAAACAACUUGAGAAUUUCAUAAUUAAGAAAAUAGUUCCUCUGUGAUGAAUUAGGUAUUUGUUUAUUUAUAUAUCUAUUUUUUUUUUAUUUCUUUUUUUUUGUUGGG